UAGGGAUGACAGCUGAGAUGUAUAUAGAAGUAGGUGGGUUGGACGUUCAACAAAGUUCUUUAAGGGGAAAGAUAACUCCAAUGAUAAAUGCAUCCUUUUGCCUUUGUUCUGUCUUCCUUUCUGCAGCUUGAAGCAAUGGAUGUGAUGUUUGGCGCUUCAGUCCCCAUUUUGAUAUUGUGAAAUUCCCCUGAGAAUGCAAGCAAAUGUUGAGAAUGGUGCAACAGAAAGGAAGAACUCGGUCCCUGAUGUAUUUAUGGAGCUACAAUUUUAGAAAGACUCAUCUGAAAGGAAUGUGGAGGUCAGAGAAAAGUGAUGGGAAAGUUACCACAGCCUGCAAAUGAGAAAUGAUGAGAGCCUGACUGGGCCUGAAAGAAAUGAAAGACUUUCCUCAGACCGCAGAUAAAUGAUAUAGGUUGAAAACUUG
rnacentral:lncRNA from 13 species